AGCGAACGCUGGCGGCAGGCUUAACACAUGCAAGUCGAGCGGGCAUCCUUGUGGUGUCAGCGGCAGACGGGUGAGUAACGCGUGGGAACGUGCCCUUCGUUUCGGAAUAACUCAGGGAAACUUGAGCUAAUACCGGAUACGUGCGAGAGCAGAAAGGUUUAUCUGCCGAAGGAUCGGCCCGCGUCUGAUUAGCUAGUUGGUGAGGUUAUGGCUCACCAAGGCGACGAUCAGUAGCUGGUCUGAGAGGAUGAUCAGCCACACUGGGACUGGGACACGGCCCAGACUCCUCCGGGAGGCAGCAGUGGGGAAUAUUGGACAAUGGGGGCAACCCUGAUCCAGCCAUGCCGCGUGAGUGCUGACGGCCUUAGGGUUGUAAAGCUCUUUUCUCCGGGACGAUAAUGACGGUACCGGAGGAAUAAGCCCCGGCUAACUUCGUG
rnacentral:rRNA from 1 species